CAUUCGCACAAAUCCAACAUAUAUUCCUGUGAAUUGCUUUUGUGAGGGUCCGUGCGUGGAUGUGACGUCGUUGGAUUCUUCGGGUUCAGCGGCGUUCCUUCGUGCGGAUGCUCGCGGGCAUCGGGGCAUGCAGCCGAGCCGCGGCUCCUGCAUGUCUCGGUGUCGUUCUUCGCGUAUGGCGCUUCGGUGUCAUCCACUGCCAAUGGCUUCUGCCAUUUUUUCAUUUACAACUUUCAGCGAUGGAUGUCUCGGUUCGAACAACGAUGAAGGGCGCAGCGAAGUGCGAUAAGCAUUGUGAAUUGCAGAAUUCCGUGAACCGACAGGGACUUGAACGCAUAUUGUACUUUUGGGAUAUCCCUGAAAGUAUGUCUGCUUCAGUGCCUAUGCUUUAUUGUUCCAACAACUCUGCCAUCUGGUACGGUUGUUGCGAGUGCUUGUGCCUCAAGAUGCACAUUCUGGUGCUCCUGAGGUAUGCAAUUGACGAGGCUACGCUGCAACCRCCAGCUUACUGAGCUUCACUGCACUGUUUGCNUGUGUGUGUGGYGSCUAUGAGCCUUGAUCCUUCYUGAGCUUUCUUAGCUCCUACGGCAUGAAGUUAGAUCAGCUUACCCGCUGAAUUUAA
rnacentral:rRNA from 1 species